UGUCCCCGGCUCCUCUUCACCCCUGGGGAAAUGCUUGCUGCUCCCUAACUGUGCUAAAAGGGCCCCAUAUCGAGGACCCACCUCUUCUCUCCCUAGCGCCAGACACAAACCUCAUAAUUCCACACACAGGAAAUCUGAAGAAGGAGAGAACCCAGUUUUGCUUCCUCUCUACCUGCUGUGGUUUAAGCAUGAUCCUGCCCAACCACAGGGGAUCGGACCAUCUGACCUCUCCAUGAUCCUGAGGAAGGCGAGAAGGGACAUCCAUGUAAUCUAAUAGAGCUUCAGGAAUCAUGCUCAGCUCAACAAUUUCUCUGGCCUGGACUUGCCCUUUUCCCACUUCCAUCCUGUGAGUGUCUACUGAGGAUUACUCACUCUGAAGAAGCUGGUGGCCAUGUCAUAAGGACACUCGAGCAGCCCUGGAAGAGGCCCAUGCUGGGAGGAGCCAAGUUCUCCUGCCAACAACUGUUCCAGUUUGUCCGGGACAGUCCUAGUUUUGCACUCAAAGUCCCACAUCCCAUGAAACCUUUUAGUCCUAAGCAAAUGGAAACAAGUGGUCACCCUAACAGCCAGCACCAACCUUCCAGCCAUGUGAGUGAGCCACCUUGGAAGCAGAACCUCCAGCCCCAGCCAAGCCUUCAGAUGACCGCAGCCCUGACCGCAACUUCAUGAGAGACUCUGAGCCUAAUAACACAGCCAAGUCACUCGAACUCCUGACCUACAGAAAGUAUGUGAGAUAAUAAAGGUUAAUUGUUGUUUAAGCCACCAUAUUUGGGGAUAACUUAAUAUGCAGCAAUAGAUCAGUAAUAUACCCAGGACUCUAUAUUUCAUCACAUUCCUGGAUAAUUUGGUCUAUGAAUCAGCAGAUGUGAACCACGGAUCUGGUCUCAUUCCCCAAAGUAGCACUUUCCAAUAGAAAUUUCUGCAAUGAUGGAACGGCCAUAUAUCUGUGCUAUCCAAUGUGAUAGUCCAUAGCCAA